AUUGAACGCCGGCGGCAGGCCUAACACAUGCAAGUCGAGCGGAUGAAGGGAGCUUGCUCCUGGAUUCAGCGGCGGACGGGUGAGUAAUGCCUAGGAAUCUGCCUGGUAGUGGGGGAUAACGUCCGGAAACGGGCGCUAAUACCGCAUACGUCCUGAGGGAGAAAGUGGGGGAUCUUCGGACCUCACGCUAUCAGAUGAGCCUAGGUCGGAUUAGCUAGGUGGUGGGGUAAAGGCCUACCAAGGCGACGAUCCGUAACUGGUCUGAGAGGAUGAUCAGUCACACUGGAACUGAGACACGGUCCAGACUCCUACGGGAGGCAGCAGUGGGGAAUAUUGGACAAUGGGCGAAAGCCUGAUCCAGCCAUGCCGCGUGUGUGAAGAAGGUCUUCGGAUUGUAAAGCACUUUAAGUUGGGAGGAAGGGCAGUAAGUUAAUACCUUGCUGUUUUGACGUUACCAACAGAAUAAGCACCGGCUAACUUCGUG
rnacentral:rRNA from 1 species